CCUACGGGAGGCAGCAGUGGGGAAUAUUGGACAAUGGGCGAAAGCCUGAUCCAGCAAUUCCGCGUGUGUGAAGAAGGCCUUCGGGUUGUAAAGCACUUUAGGUUGGGAAGAAAAAGCUUCGGUGAAUAUCCGGAGUGUUGACGGUACCAACAGAAUAAGCACCGGCUAACUCUGUGCCAGCAGCCGCGGUAAUACAGAGGGUGCAAGCGUUAAUCGGAUUUACUGGGCGUAAAGCGUGCGCAGGUGGUUUCGUAAGUCGGAUGUGAAAGCCCCGGGCUCAACCUGGGAACUGCGUUCGAUACUGCGAGACUAGAGUUUGGUAGAGGGUGGCGGAAUUCCCGGUGUAGCGGUGAAAUGCGUAGAUAUCGGGAGGAACAUCAAUGGCGAAGGCAGCCACCUGGGCCUGAACUGACACUGAGGCACGAAAGCGUGGGUAGCAAACAGGAUUAGAUACCCUGGUAGUCCACGCCGUAAACGAUGAGAACUUGACGUUGGUUCGUUUUACGAAUCGGUGUCGUAGCUAACGCGAUAAGUUCUCCGCCUGGGGAGUACGCCGCGAGUAGAACACAANAGAGUAGUACGGCGNGAGACGUGCCGACGGACGACGACGAGGGAGGAGG
rnacentral:rRNA from 1 species